UACGUAGGCAGCAAGCGUUGUUCGGAGUUACUGGGCGUAAAGGGUGCGUAGGCGGCUUUUUAAGUUUGGUGUGAAAUCUCCCGGCUCAACUGGGAGGGUGCGCCGAAUACUGAGAGGCUAGAGUGUGGGAGAGGAAAGUGGAAUUCCUGGUGUAGCGGUGAAAUGCGUAGAUAUCAGGAGGAACACCGGUGGCGAAGGCGGUGGUCUGGGCCGACACUGACGCUGUAGAGCGAAAGCGUGGGGAGCGAACAGG
rnacentral:rRNA from 1 species